rnacentral:rRNA from 1 species
AGAGUUUGAUCAUGGCUCAGAUUGAACGCUGGCGGCAGGCCUAACACAUGCAAGUCGAACGGUAACAGGAAGCAGCUUGCUGCUUCGCUGACGAGUGGCGGACGGGUGAGUAAUGUCUGGGAAGCUGCCUGAUGGAGGGGGAUAACUACUGGAAACGGUAGCUAAUACCGCAUAAUGUCGCAAGACCAAAGAGGGGGACCUUCGGGCCUCUUGCCAUCGGAUGUGCCCAGAUGGGAUUAGCUUGUUGGUGGGGUAACGGCUCACCAAGGCGACGAUCCCUAGCUGGUCUGAGAGGAUGACCAGCCACACUGGAACUGAGACACGGUCCAGACUCCUACGGGAGGCAGCAGUGGGGAAUAUUGCACAAUGGGCGCAAGCCUGAUGCAGCCAUGCCGCGUGUAUGAAGAAGGCCUUCGGGUUGUAAAGUACUUUCAGCGGGGAGGAAGGGAGUAAAGUUAAUACCUUUGCUCAUUGACGUUACCCGCAGAAGAAGCACCGGCUAACUCCGUGCCAGCAGCCGCGGUAAUACGGAGGGUGCAAGCGUUAAUCGGAAUUACUGGGCGUAAAGCGCACGCAGGCGGUUUGUUAAGUCAGAUGUGAAAUCCCCGGGCUCAACCUGGGAACUGCAUCUGAUACUGGCAAGCUUGAGUCUCGUAGAGGGGGGUAGAAUUCCAGGUGUAGCGGUGAAAUGCGUAGAGAUCUGGAGGAAUACCGGUGGCGAAGGCGGCCCCCUGGACGAAGACUGACGCUCAGGUGCGAAAGCGUGGGGAGCAAACAGGAUUAGAUACCCUGGUAGUCCACGCCGUAAACGAUGUCGACUUGGAGGUUGUGCCCUUGAGGCGUGGCUUCCGGAGCUAACGCGUUAAGUCGACCGCCUGGGGAGUACGGCCGCAAGGUUAAAACUCAAAUGAAUUGACGGGGGCCCGCACAAGCGGUGGAGCAUGUGGUUUAAUUCGAUGCAACGCGAAGAACCUUACCUGGUCUUGACAUCCACGGAAGUUUUCAGAGAUGAGAAUGUGCCUUCGGGAACCGUGAGACAGGUGCUGCAUGGCUGUCGUCAGCUCGUGUUGUGAAAUGUUGGGUUAAGUCCCGCAACGAGCGCAACCCUUAUCCUUUGUUGCCAGCGGUCCGGCCGGGAACUCAAAGGAGACUGCCAGUGAUAAACUGGAGGAAGGUGGGGAUGACGUCAAGUCAUCAUGGCCCUUACGACCAGGGCUACACACGUGCUACAAUGGCGCAUACAAAGAGAAGCGACCUCGCGAGAGCAAGCGGACCUCAUAAAGUGCGUCGUAGUCCGGAUUGGAGUCUGCAACUCGACUCCACGAAGUCGGGAUCGCUAGUAAUCGUGGAUCAGAAUGCCACGGUGAAUACGUUCCCGGGCCUUGUACACACCGCCCGUCACACCAUGGGAGUGGGUUGCAAAAGAAGUAGGUAGCUUAACCUUCGGGAGGGCGCUUACCACUUUGUGAUUCAUGACUGGGGUGAAGUCGGAACAAGGUA